UACGAAGGGGGCUAGCGUUGUUCGGAAUCACUGGGCGUAAAGCGCACGUAGGCGGAUUGUUAAGUCAGGGGUGAAAUGCCAAGGCUCAACCUUGGAACUGCCUUUGAUACUGGCAAUCUCGAGUCCGGGAGAGGUGAGUGGAACUGCGAGUGUAGAGGUGAAAUUCGUAGAUAUUCGCAAGAACACCAGUGGCGAAGGCGGCUCACUGGCCCGGUACUGACGCUGAGGUGCGAAAGCGUGGGGGAGCAAACAGG
rnacentral:rRNA from 1 species